UACGUAGGGGGCAAGCGUUGUCCGGAAUCAUUGGGCGUAAAGGGCGCGUAGGCGGCCACGCACGUCCGUUGUGAAAUCGCCCGGCUCAACUGGGCGGGGUCAGCGGAUACGGUGUGGCUCGAGCAAGCUAGGGGGCAAUGGAAUUCCCGGUGUAGUGGUGGAAUGCGUAGAUAUCGGGAGGAACACCAGUGGCGAAGGCGGUUGCCUGGAGCUUUGCUGACGCUGAUGCGCGAAAGCGUGGGGAGCGAACCGG
rnacentral:rRNA from 1 species